rnacentral:misc_RNA from 1 species
UCCGGUUUGACACCGGCAGUCUCGCUAGAGUCCCCACCAUUACGUGUUGGCAACUAGCGACAGGGGUUGCGCUCGUUAAGCGACUUAACGCGACACUUCACAGCACGAGCUGACGACAGCCAUGCAGCACCUGUGCAUGUUCCACCCUUGCGGGCGUCAUUCCUGUUUCCAGGAACUAAUCCAUGCAUGUCAAACCCAGGUAAGGUUCUUCGCGUUGCUUCGAAUUAAGCAACAUGCUCCACCGCUUGUGUGAGCCCCCGUCAAUUUCUUUGAGUUUUAGCCUUGCGACCGUACUCCCCAGGCGGCGCACUUAGCAAUUUCUCUACGACCGAUACGGCGUGAGAGCCGCACCAGUCUAGUGCGCAUCGUUUAGGGCGUGGACUAC